GAGGAGGACAGCAGGUUAACCCAACCGGUUUCCGAAGCCUCCGCUCACGCAGAAGCUCAUGCUCCUCCGCAUCCCUUGCUGUCCCAGGUGCUUGCUAACUACUCCCACCCGCCUCACGGUGCUGUCACAGGGGUGAUGUGAGUCACGCAUACGCACAAGGACUUUGUGCGUAACAGGACGCUUUACAAAUGUGAGAAAUUUUUAUCAGGCUUCAGUGGUAACUCCGUGCUUUUGACAUAUACCUGUUCUAACUAUACACAGGGUCUUCAGGAUCAAAUAAAAUAGCCAAGAUAAGAAACUAGGAAUCAAACUCAUGACCUAACACUUGCUAGGUGUUGGGAGCUGCUGGAGCUGGAGAUUGGUCAUAUGGGAGAUGGCAGGACAGAGCCAGAGUGCCGCAAGCAGUCAAGCUACCUCAGUAUUGAAAGAAGGAUCCUGCCUGGACAGUUACUGUCAUUAAUCACUAGGCAACAUCACCUCUGCUGAUACUAACUUUGCAGGAGUUUAAAAUAAAUGCCCCUACUGUUGAAAUCAGUCUUCUUCCCAUCAGAAUCCGAAGCCUGGAAAAAUCAGAAUAAUUUGCCUUUUUGCUGUAAAGCAGGAUGUUCUUGAGAAGGCAAUGCGAUGACCAUGGGCCCGUUUCAGGAUUAACGAGGGGAAUGCCUACAACAGGGCUCAAAGUAGGAUCCAACAACUUACAGAGAAACUCCAUUUGGAGAGAAGAGUGAUCUUUUUCUUUAAAGGAAAACAGAAGAGGAGAAGAAAAGGAAACACUACAAAUGUCUAACGGAGUGCUAAGGUCUUUGUACUUCUACCAUUUUUUCUUUUUUGGUUUUUCUCCGGUACCGGGAACCGAACUCACGACCUUGUACUUGCCAGGCAGGCGCUUUGCCGCUGAGCUAAAUCCCCAGCCCCUACCAUUUUUAAUUGCCUGUUGCAACGCUACCCAGGCUACUCUCUUCACCAC